UCCCGUUGAUCCUGCGGGAGAUUGCUGCUAUGGGGAUUCGUAUAGCCAUGCAAGUCAGAGCGCAAGCUCGGCGACAUGCUCAGUAACACGUCGAUAAUCUGCCCUUAGGUGGGGGAUAACCUUGGGAAACUGAGGAUAAAACCCUAUAUGGAACGGAGGCUGGAAUGCACCAUUCCUUAAACGUAUAGGCCUAAGGAUGAGUCGGCGGUCGAUUAGGUUGUUGGUGGGGUAACGGCCCACCAAGCCGAUGAUCGAUAGGGGUCCUUAGUGGGAGAGCCCCGAGAAGGGCACUGAGAUACUGGCCCUAGCCCUACGGGGUGCAGCAGGCACGAAUUCUCUUCAAUGCGCGAAAGCGUGAAAGGGGAAUCCCCAGUGCAUAUGCAUUGAGCAUAUGUUUUUGCCAAGCGUAAAAAGUUUGGCGAAUAAGUGGUGGGCAAGACCGGUGCCAGCCGCCGCGGUAACACCGGCGCCACGAGUGGGAAUCAGUAUUAUUGGGCCUAAAGCGUUCGUAGCCUGUUUUGUAAAUCCUUUGUGAAAUCGUUAUGCUUAACAUAACGGCGUGCAGGGGACACUGCAAAACUUGGGACCGGGAGAGGUAUGGAGUAUUCGAUGGGGAGCGGUAAAAUGCUAUAAUCCCUCGAGGACUACCUGUGGCGAAGGCGCCAUACUAGAACGGAUCCGACGGUGAGGGACGAAAGCCAGGGGAGCGAAAUGGAUUAGAUACCCACGUAGUCCUGGCCGUAAACUCUGUCAGCUAAGUGUUGCAUAAUUUUCAAGAUUGUGCAGUGUCGUAGCGAAGGCGUUAAGCUGACCGCCUGGGAAGUACGGUCGCAAGGCUGAAACUUAAAGGAAUUGGCGGGGGAGCACAACAAGAGGUGCGGCGUGCGGUUUAAUCUAACUCAACGCACAGAAUCUCACCAUGGGCGACGGCAGGAUGAUUCUCAGGUUAAAGGCCUUAGAGGACGAGCCGAGAGGUGGUGCAUGGCCGUCGUCAGCUCGUGCCGCAAGGUGUCCUGUUAAGUCAGGCAACGAGCGAGACCUGUGCCCGCUGUUGCUAUUGUUUUCAUCAGAAAGCAAGCACACUGCGGGGACUGCUGUGGUAACACAGAGGAAGGUGCAGGCUACGGUAGGUCUUUAUGCCCCGAAUCUCAUGGGCUACACGCGCGCAACAAUGGCCGGGACAAUGGGAUGCGACUCCGAAAGGGGAAGCCAAACCUCGAAACCCGGUCCAAGUACAGAUUGAGGCUUGUAACUCAGCCUCAUGACGACGGAAUCUCUAGUAAUCAGAUGUUAUCAUCAUCCGGUGAAUAUGUCCCUGCUCCUUGCACACACCGCCCGUCAAACCAACCGAGUUGGGUCUAGAUGAGGUCUGGUCUUUGGAUCAGUUCGAAUCUAAGCUUAGCGAGGUGGGUUAAGUCGUCACAAGGUA
rnacentral:rRNA from 1 species